rnacentral:tRNA from 1 species
GCCGAAGUGGUGGAAUUGGUAGACACGCCAUCUUGAGGUGGUGGUGGGUUCGCUCGUGCCGGUUCGAGUCCGGCCUUCGGCA